UACGGGGGGUGCGAGCGUUGUCCGGAAUCACUGGGCGUAAAGGGCGCGCAGGUGGUGUGCUAAGUCUGCCGUGAAAUCUCCCGGCUCAACUGGGAGGCUGCGGUGGAGACUGGUACGCUUGAGGUACCUAGAGGUCGGUGGAAUUCCCGGUGUAGUGGUGAAAUGCGUAGAGAUCGGGAGGAACACCAGUGGCGAAGGCGGCCGGCUGGGGGUGACCUGACGCUGAGGCGCGAAAGCGUGGGGAGCGAACCGG
rnacentral:rRNA from 1 species